rnacentral:rRNA from 1 species
UACGUAGGGUGCGAGCGUUGUCCGGAAUUAUUGGGCGUAAAGAGCUCGUAGGCGGCCUGUCGCGUCGGAUGUGAAAGCCCGGGGCUUAACCCCGGGUCGUGCAUUCGAUACGGGCAGGCUAGAGUGUGGUAGGGGAGAUCGGAAUUCCUGGUGUAGCGGUGAAAUUCGUAGAUAUCGGGAGGAACACCAGUGGCGAAGGCGGCGACCUGGACGGAUACUGACGCUGAGGUGCGAAAGCGUGGGGAGCAACAGG